rnacentral:lncRNA from 7 species
AAAAAUGUUUGGGCAGGAGAAUUGUCAUGGGUCCUUCUAAGCUUUACAAGCGAUGAAGCAACGACUCCUGCCUUUCAGCUUAGGGAGGGGAAGCAAAGCUUCUUUGAAAGCAGCAGGUCACCCAGUUAGUUACACAAGCACAUUUAUCACGGCGUGGGCUGUAGAACUUGAUCACUACCAGGAGUGGAGAGAAUACCUAUUGCAUACUGAAACUCCUUCUCUCUCUCACUUAGACAUGCCUGUCUUCAACAUUUCAAACCAAGCUCAAAGGCAGAUGUCAUUGGAGGUUGCUGUGGAUGAUGAACAAGAAGGGUUUCUGAAUUAUUAUCGCUGUUUGAGGAGGCGAAAAAAGUGCCAGUCCUGCAGCAGACCCUACAAUCAAUGGAAUCAAAGCAUGCUUUUGGAAGUACUGCAUUGAGCACAAGUAGCAUUUAGCCUUCACGUUGAUGGGUCAUUCUGAAGAGUAUCUGAGAUACUGAAGCUGACAAAAAAAGUCUUCAAACCCUGAAGAACUUUUUACACAAGUGAUAGAAGAAAAAUAACUUUCUGAGCAUAUAUUCUUUGUGUAUAGUAGAUGUUUAAAGGGGAAAUAUUGACGUUUGUAUUUAAAAUGGUAAUAAAAACAAGUUUUAUACAAGCAACAUCGCAGAGAAGACUACUUGUGCUCAUAAGCAUGUGGAAAUCAGUAGCUCAAUCUGCACAGCUCCAUCUGCCUUAAAAUAAUUGGGCAUCAUCUCUGCUUUUACACGGGGCCAAGCACUGCAAAUCCCUAUGUAGAUAUUACAUCUGUGUCAAGGCUGCUCAGUCAGGUGGUGAUAUAGUUAACAAUGCAACUUGCUUUCUUCUGUCCCUUUAUGUCAUUUGUUCUCCAGUAACUUUAAAAGUAUUUCCCUGGCCUUUUAAAAAUAGAGCAACUCAAAUGUGGGCAACAGCUUUUUCUUAAACAUGUUCAGGGGAUGGCAUUAGACAUUCAAAACGUAAUAGGUAUGGCUCACCCUAUCCUGGGCAAAUGAAGUAAUGACGGUUUCCUGACACGCUGGGUCAUUUCUACUUCUCUACCCACAUCUCUUCCCUGUGUUGCCUGAAAUACGCAAAUACCAACCAAAGUGUGCUGGUUUAGAUAGCAAAGUUUGUGGAGACAGCAAUCCAUCGUGGAGGGCUGGUGCCAUGAACUUUUCCAUGAGCAUGAGCAGUAAGGGAACCAUCAAAACCUCCUCAUCUGGUCUUUCCCAGACCACACUGUUAAAACAUGGCCAGCCCCCAGCAGAAGGGAUGUGCUUUGUGCUAGGUAGCCCCAAGGUCAAAGAUCACACAACUGGCCCUCUGUAUUUUUAUUCAUCAGUAUGGAGCACGGUCAGGGUGCAUUGCUCCCCAGAUCCCAUUGCAGGUCUGUGACACCAUUCCUCCAAACCUAACCAAAGCUGGGUUAAAUCUUGCCUGCUACAACCCAGGUUGCUGCUGCAAAGCAUCUUUGCCAGGAAAUUACUAUGGAAAUAAAGACAGAACACUGC